ACUACGGGAGGCAGCAGUGAGGAAUAUUGGUCAAUGGACGAAAGUCUGAACCAGCCAAGUAGCGUGAAGGAUGACUGCCCUAUGGGUUGUAAACUUCUUUUAUAUGGGAAUAAAAUGUUCCACGUGUGGGAUUUUGUAUGUACCAUAUGAAUAAGGAUCGGCUAACUCCGUGCCAGCAGCCGCGGUAAUACGGAGGAUCCGAGCGUUAUCCGGAUUUAUUGGGUUUAAAGGGAGCGUAGGUGGAUUGUUAAGUCAGUUGUGAAAGUUUGUGGCUCAACCGUUAAAUUGCAGUUGAAACUGGCAGUCUUGAGUGCAGUAGAGGCAGGCGGAAUUCGUGGUGUAGCGGUGAAAUGCUUAGAUAUCACGAAGAACCCCGAUUGCGAAGGCAGCUUACUGGACUGCAACUGACACUGAGGCUCGAAAGUGUGGGUAUCAAACAGGAUUAGAUACCCUGGUAGUC
rnacentral:rRNA from 1 species